GGGGAAUAUUGGGCAAUGGGGGAAACCCUGACCCAGCAACGCCGCGUGAGGGAAGAAGGCUUUCGGGUCGUAAACCUCUGUCCCAUGGGAAGAGCAGAAGACGGUACCAUGGGAGGAAGCCCCGGCUAACUACGUGCCAGCAGCCGCGGUAAUACGUAGGGGGCGAGCGUUGUCCGGAAUGACUGGGCGUAAAGGGCGCGUAGGUGGCCUUUCAAGUCUGGAGUGAAAGUCCCGCUUUCAAGGUGGGAAUGGCUUUGGAAACUGAGAGGCUUGAGUGUGGGAGAGGAUAGCGGAAUUCCCGGUGUAGCGGUGAAAUGCGUAGAGAUCGGGAGGAACACCAGUGGCGAAGGCGGCUAUCUGGACCAAGACUGACACUGAAGCGCGAAAGCGUGGGUAGCAAAC
rnacentral:rRNA from 1 species